rnacentral:rRNA from 1 species
AGUGAACGCUGGCGGUAGGCCUAACACAUGCAAGUCGAACGGCAGCACAGUAAGAGCUUGCUCUUACGGGUGGCGAGUGGCGGACGGGCGAGGAAUACAUCGGAAUCUACUUUUUCGUGGGGGAUAACGUAGGGAAACUUACGCUAAUACCGCGUACGACCUACGGGUGAAAGCAGGGGAUCUUCGGACCUUGCGCGAUUGAAUGAGCCGAUGUCGGAUUAGCUAGUUGGCGGGGUAAAGGCCCACCAAGGCGACGAUCCGUAGCUGGUCUGAGAGGAUGAUCAGCCACACUGGAACUGAGACACGGUCCAGACUCCUACGGGAGGCAGCAGUGGGGAAUAUUGGACAAUGGGCGCAAGCCUGAUCCAGCCAUACCGCGUGGGUGAAGAAGGCCUUCGGGUUGUAAAGCCCUUUUGUUGGGAAAGAAAAGCAGCAGGUUAAUACCCCGCUGUUCUGACGGUACCCAAAGAAUAAGCACCGGCUAACUUCGUG